AUGGACAGGAGUUGUUAUAAGGCUGUCCAAGCAAGUGAAUGCCUGUAACAGGAAACUGAAGAAGAUUGUUACAGAGUACAAUAAUCUGCAGUGGCCUCCACAAACUGGCAUCUUUCCAUCACAUUUAGAAUUUUGAGAAUUGUGUGAUGCCUCCUCCCAGCUGUACACAUUGUUUGAUGAAGAAAUUGAAGAUCAUGGUGUUGUUCCAAAGAACCUAAAAAGUCGAGCAAUAGAAGCCCUGCAUUUGAAGACUAGAGCAACUGAAGAAAAGCUUCUACUUAAGAGAGAGAUGAACACUGUCAUUCUUCACCUUCAUCAACAACAUGGACAUUUAAGUUCAGCUAUAAAUGAUACUGCAGAUCCUGGUUCAAAAGCUGUACUUCAUCAAAACAUUAUCAUGUUAGAAAAGAAAAUGUACAGUGCAAUGAACAUGUUCAAGAGGUUUAUCAGUUGGUGCCCCUCCUCCAAAUCAUCACCUACCAGAGUUUAACUCUUAUUCUCAAGCACUUAUGUCUCCAGAUCUACAUUACAUAGACUAUGAUGAAAGCAUUGACGAUGGAGAGGAUGAAGAGGAUGAUGACGACAGUGUUGACGAAGGAGAGAACAGCAUAGAUUGUGAAUCAUCUUCAUGAUUUAUGGCCACUUACUGUUCUAUGUGAAGAGCACAUAUUCCAGUAUAAAAAGUUCAUUGAUGAUUUUCAUAUAAGCUUUUUGUUCUAACAUCUCAGUUUAUUGUUUUUGAUAUUGUUGAGACAUAUCUGUUUUUUAAGUCAAGCUAUAUAUAAUCAAGGGCAUUUUAAUUUUACUCAUUACAGCUUUGUAGUCUUUUUCACAUUUAUUAAUGUUCUUGUUCAGUAUGACAUUGUUAAUGACUAAACUUUAUUUACAGUUUGAAUUUAACUCUUAAUCUUGAGAUGCUGCAUAAUCUGCUUUACAUAAUAUCUUUAAAUUUGAGCACAACAAUGAAAUAACUAAAACGUAGUGGACAAAAAUUUUGUGAUGUUCAUAUUUGAGAAAUAUUUGACUGUUAUCCAAGAAUUACAUUAUUUUGAAGGGCACUACUCUGUAUUAAAAAUUCAUUAAGAGCUA